rnacentral:rRNA from 1 species
CACGGAGUUAGCCGGUGCUUAUUCAUUCGGUACCGUCACACAGGGACGCAUCCCCGCUCUUCUUCCCGAAUAAAAGCCGUUUACAACCCUGAGGGCCUUCAUCCGGCACGCGGCAUGGCUGGGUCAGACUUGCAUCCAUUGCCCAAUAUUCCCUACUGCUGCCUCCCGUAGGAGUCGGGCCCGUAUCUCAGUGCCCGUGUGGGGGAUCAACCUCUCAGCUCCCCUAUCGAUCGUCGCCUUGGUAGGCCGUUACCCAUACCAACUAGCUAAUCGAACGCAUGCCCAUCUUCAACCAAUAAAUCUUUAACAAAUAGACCCAUGUGGGCCCCCUGUAUUAUGCGGUAUUAAUCCGGGUUUCCCCGGGCUAUCCCCCAGUUGAAGGUAGGUUGCAUACGCGUUACGCACCCGUACGACGGUGACAUUGCUGCCCCCUCGCCUUGCAUGUAUUAAGCCUGCCGCUAGCGUUCAUCCUGAGCCAGGAUCAAACUC